UUAAGAGUUUGAUCCUGGCUCAGGACGAACGCUGGCGGCGUGCCUAAUCUAUGCAAGUCGAGGGAGUUUAGACUCCCGGCAGACGAGUGAGUAACACGUAGGAACGUACCAUUGGGAGGGGGAUAAUCUACCGAAAGGUGGAAUAAUACCCCGUAAUAUGAGUAGAGAAUUAAGAGUACAAUCUUAUAAUUAUAUAUUUCUUUUGUUUAGAUAUAUAUAAUGUCAAAAUCCAAAUGCUCAAUAUCAAAUGAAUGCCCAAUUUCUAAAUUUUGAGCAUUAUAUUAUAGUGUUUUGAAAUUGAUUUGACAUUUAAAAUUUGAGCUUAGAAAUUUACUAUAAAUUAAGUCUUUGUAAUUUUAAUUCUCUAUUCAUCAAAGGUUUACAGCUUUCGGGUUGUAUUCCGCCCUUUGAUCGGCCUGCGUCCCAUCAGCUUGUUGGUAAGGUAAAGGCUUACCAAGGCUAUGACGGGUAGGGGGCGUGAGAGCGUGUACCCCCACGGUGGCACUGAGAUACGGGCCACACACCUACGGGUGGCAGCAAGUAGGAAUCGUGCGCAAUGGGCGAAAGCCUGACGCCGCGACGCCGCGUGAAGGAAGAAGGCCUUCGGGUUGUAAACUUACAUUAAAAAGUCACGGCUAACUUCGUGCCAGCAGCAGCGGUAAUACGAAGGUGGCAAGCGUUGUCCGAUGUUAUUGGGCGUAAAGAGUUCUGUAGGCGGAAAUAAAAGUUAUAUGUUAAAGGCUUCGGCUCAACCGGAGUUAUGCGUGUAAUACUAUAUUUCUAGAGUAAGAUAGGGGCUAGUGGAACGUACGGUGUAGUAGUGAAAUGCGUUGAUAUCGUACGGAACACCAAAGGCGUAGGCAACUAGCUGGAUCUUUACUGACGCUGAGAGACGAAAGCGUGGGGAGCGAAAGGGAUUAGAUACCCCUGUAGUCCACGCCGUAAACGAUGCCGACUAGGAAGUGGUUUUAAUUUAUUGAUAUCACUUUCGAAGCUAACGCGUUAAGUCGGCCGCCUGGGAAGUACGGUCGCAAGACUAAAACUCAAAGGAAUUGGCGGGGACCCGCACAAGCGGUGGAGCGCCUGGUUUAAUUCGAUGUUAAGCGAAGAACCUUACCUGGGUUUGACAUGCUACUGCAUCCCCCGAGAAAUCGGGGAGUCCUUCGAGGGUGUAGCACAGGUGUUGCACGGCUGUCGUCAGCUCGAGUCGUGAGAUGUUCGGUUAAGUCCGUUAUCGAGCGCAACCCCUACUACUAGUUGUAUCACUCUAGUGGAACUGCCCGGGCAACCGGGAGGAAGGAGGGGAUGACGUCAAGUCAGCGUGGCCCUUAUGUCCAGGGCGACACAGGCGCUACAAUGGUUAGUACAGAGGGUUGCUACCUAGCAAUAGGAUGCUAAUCCCAAAAAGCUAACCUCAGUUCGGAUUGAUGUCUGCAACUCGACAUCAUGAAGUCGGAAUCGCUAGUAAUCGCUGGUCAGCCACACAGCGGUGAAUACGUUCUCGGGUCUUGCACACACCGCCCGUCAAUUGGGGGAAGUUGGAAACACCCGAAGUCUGGGAGUAAUACUCUCGGCCUAAGGUGGAGUCAACAACCAACAAUAAGUCGUAACAAGGUAGCCGUAGGGGAAUCUGCGGCUGGAUCACCUCCUUUCU
rnacentral:rRNA from 1 species